UUGCUGAUUUACCACAGUGACUCUUAAUUUUUAUUUAUUUAUUGUUAACUGCCAGAAAUCAGCUAAAAAAAAUUCAUAAUUAUAGGAACCAUUUCUAAAUUGAUAUUUUUUUUAGUGGGCCGCAUAUAUGAAUA